GAUGAACGCUAGCGGGAGGCCUAACACAUGCAAGCCGAGCGGUAGAGAUCUUUUGGGAUCUUGAGAGCGGCGUACGGGUGCGGAACACGUGUGCAACCUACCUUUAUCUGGAGGAUAGCCUUUCGAAAGGAAGAUUAAUACUCCAUAAUAUAUUGAUUGGCAUCAGUUGAUAUUGAAAGCUCCGGCGGAUAAAGAUGGGCACGCGCAAGAUUAGCUAGUUGGUGAGGUAACGGCUCACCAAGGCGAUGAUCUUUAGGGGGCCUGAGAGGGUGAUCCCCCANACUGGUACUGAGACACGGACCAGACUCCUACGGGAGGCAGCAGUGAGGAAUAUUGGUCAAUGGGUGCAAGCCUGAACCAGCCAUCCCGCGUGAAGGACGACUGCCCUAUGGGUUGUAAACUUCUUUUGUAUAGGGAUAAACCUACUCUCGUGAGAGUAGCUGAAGGUACUAUACGAAUAAGCACCGGCUAACUCCGUGCCAGCAGCCG
rnacentral:rRNA from 1 species